rnacentral:rRNA from 1 species
GAUGAACGCUGGCGGCGUGCCUAACACAUGCAAGUCGAACGGGAAUAGGAUGAAACCUAGUGAUUCCUAUUCCAGUGGCGGACGGGUGAGUAACGCGUGGGUAACCUGCCUUGCACUGGGGGAUAACACUUAGAAAUAGGUGCUAAUACCGCAUAAGCGCACAGAACCGCAUGGUUCGGUGUGAAAAACUCCGGUGGUGUAAGAUGGACCCGCGUCUGAUUAGCUGGUUGGUGAGGUAACGGCUCACCAAGGCGACGAUCAGUAGCCGGCCUGAGAGGGUGAACGGCCACAUUGGGACUGAGACACGGCCCAA